ACCACUCCCACAAACGUCUACGACCGCGCCUACAUAUUCUUGCAUGUUUACAAUUCUAAUUUUAAACAGCCAAUCGACGUUUAAUUGUAAUUGUUACCAAGAACUUGAUUGGCUGUUCAAAAUUAGAAUUGUAAACAUUCAAAGCUAUGUAGGUGCGGUCGUAGACGCUUAUGGGAGUGGC
rnacentral:miRNA from 1 species